GACGAACGCUGGCGGCGUGCCUAACACAUGCAAGUCGAACGAAGCACUUCUUUAGAAGCAUUCGUGUGGAAGAAGAAAUGACUGAGUGGCGGACGGGUGAGUAACGCGUGAGUAACCUGCCCCAGAGAGCGGGAUAGCGUUUGGAAACGAACGGUAAUACCGCAUAAAGUAUUAGAUUCGCAUGGAUUUAAUACCAAAGAUUUAUCGCUCUGGGAUGGACUCGCGUUGGAUUAGAUAGUUGGUGGGGUAACGGCCUACCAAGUCAACGAUCCAUGGCCGGACUGAGAGGUUGAACGGCCACAUUGGGACUGAGACACGGCCCAGACUCCUACGGGAGGCAGCAGUGGGGGAUAUUGGACAAUGGGCGAAAGCCUGAUCCAGCCAUGCCGCGUGUGUGAAGAAGGUCUUCGGAUUGUAAAGCACUUUAAGUUGGGAGGAAGGGUUGUAGAUUAAUACUCUGCAAUUUUGACGUUACCGACAGAAUAAGCACCGGCUAACUCUGUGCCAGCCGCCGCCGUAAUAC
rnacentral:rRNA from 1 species